AGCUUCCCCUGAUACUGCCAAC
rnacentral:miRNA from 1 species